rnacentral:rRNA from 1 species
GUUGGGCCUGCUCGGUGAGAAGAAAAUUUAACAGCUGCGGUAUUAUAACUGUACUAAGGUAGCAUAAUAAUUUGCCUUAUAAAUUAAGGCUAGAAUGAAUGGUUUGACGAAAAUUAGACUGUCUUUAUUUUAUUUGUUAGAAAUUAAUUUUUAUAGUGAAAAAGCUUGAAUAAUUUAAGGGGACGAGAAGACCCUAUUGAGCUUUAUUUAUUAAUAUUUAAAUAUAAAUAUAUAAUUUAUAUUAUGAAAAUUAUGUUGUAUAUAUAUAUAUAUAUAUAUAUUUAAUUGGAUUUAAUUUUGAUUGGGGUGAUCAAGGAAUAAAGAUAAAGUAACUUCCUUAAAAUUAAUGAUUGUUUUUAUAGAGUAAUAAACCAAGUUUUUUGCUUAUAAGAUAAGUUACCAUAGGGGUAACAGCGUAAUUUUUUUUGAGAGUUCAUAUUGAAAAAAGAGAUUGCGACCUCGAUGUUGGAUUAAAAAUUACCUUAAGG